CCGCGUUGGUACACAACAAGCGCUCGCAAUCAAGGCCAGAAUGGAGAACCUUUUAUUAACCUAAAACACAAUCUUAUAUAUCAUACAACACUCCGUGGGAGACUCUCGCAAAUAAGGAACUACGUCAUUUACCUAUCAACAACUCUAGAUAGUCAGGAAAGAGCAAAGUCUCUACCGCUUAAUCCUAUUACUAUAAUAUAAGUUUUACAUCAAUACAGCAAAAUCCAGGGUGGAAAGUUUGUUUUUUGUGCGCCGAAGAUUUGACCAAGGUUCAGUAACAUGCGCCAGUGGCUGCACAAAUCCUGUUUUAAACAUACGCCACCAAGUUGCAACUUUUAGAGCCAGGACAGCACAGAUACUAUAAACAUUUGAAAUACGGUUGUAGUGUGCACAAGUAAAUAAUUUUUUGUACGCCAGUGCGCCACACGAGUUCAUUUUCCCAUAAUUCUGCGCCAAAAUGGAGCACAUUUAUUAAAUAUGAAUUUUCCACGCCGAAGAUCUUCGGCGCAACCUACAAACUUUCCACCCUGGUACAGCAUGCACAUAUGAACGCCACAAUAUCCCUUCACUUAUUGUUUUCGUCCUGAAAACUGAAUAUAUACAUAAACGACAAGCCUAAUAUACUAAAAAAAUAAAUCGCCAGGUAACACCAUAUCACUUAACUAGCACUUCGAGCACAUAUUUUCUUAAAUAUUUUCUUUGUCCCUACUCUACAGGACUAUUUCCGGCAUCACUUGUGCUCACUUAUCAUAAUUACCACAAGGCUACAGCUACUCUAUCGUUGGUCUGCCGUUACUACCGGACUUACGCUAUCUCUGCUAACAUAACUGUCUUUAACAUCUCUAUUUUUUUUUUGUGCUUCCAUCGAAGCUACUAUGAUAUAUACCGUUCACGCCCGCAACAAAUAUAAGUUCUCUAAUUUAAAGAUAUAAAAUGUCUUGGAAGCAACAAUACAUAUAACAUAAUUAUCAGUUCACACGAAAGUCAAAUAAAACUGUAGAAGUGAUGAACCAACGCAGAAAACGCCAGGACUUCACAGCUGGUAGGAACAUGUCAUAUUCUUGCCAUGUGACACUGGAUAGACGAUUUACUUCUGAUGAUUCAUACACAGCACAACACGGGAAAUUUUCAAACUCAAAAGUCAAACUACACAGCAUACAGGAAAGGAAACACAUAACUCACACACAACAGACAGUUCAAUUCAGUUUUGGUUGGCGUUUACUUAUUUAGUACUUUCCACUCAGUUUUCUGGACAGUGCUUGUUUGGUCUUGGUAAGAUCGCCGCUCGACCAACAUCGACGAUCUGGAUCUCCUCUCAGUCCACCUAUUCCACUGAACAAAGUCCAACUUGCGACGCCAAACGGUUUGACUGCAUUCUCCGCCGGAUUGCCCGCUCGGUUUGUCUUACUCUUGUCUUAAUACCAUAUGGCCUUGAUUGCGGCUAUUGCGCGUCUUCGAUCAUUAUCCCACCGCUGCCACCAAAUUGUAACGUGCCGCGUUGGUACACAACAAGCGCUCGCAAUCAAGGCCAGAAUGGAGAACCUUUUAUUAACCUAAAACACAAUCUUAUAUAACAACAUAAAACGCUCACUGAGUUUCCAGCGAUAUACAUACCCUUUUCUAGAUAUAUACCUAAUAAUAAUAAACGAACGAACGAAAGUAUUCCUUCCACUCGUGAGCUCAUUUACCAUUGUCACAUAUAGUAAAUGUCCAGGCUUUGUGAAUAAAAUAAAUAAACCUUUGUGUGUGUGUAUUCUUUCCUUUUAAGUGCCCAUCCAGGGUCACAAGGCCUGGACAUUUACUAU
rnacentral:lncRNA from 1 species